AACGAACGCUGGCGGCAUGCCUAACACAUGCAAGUCGAACGAGACCUUCGGGUCUAGUGGCGCACGGGAGCGUAACGCGUGGGAAUCUGCCCUUGGGUUCGGAAUAACAGUUAGAAAUGACUGCUAAUACCGGAUGAUGUCGUAAGACCAAAGAUUUAUCGCCCAAGGAUGAGCCCGCGUAGGAUUAGCUAGUUGGUGGGGUAAAGGCCUACCAAGGCGACGAUCCUUAGCUGGUCUGAGAGGAUGAUCAGCCACACUGGGACUGGGACACGGCCCAGACUCCUACGGGAGGCAGCAGUGGGGAAUAUUGGACAAUGGGCGAAAGCCUGAUCCAGCAAUGCCGCGUGAGUGAUGAAGGCCUUAGGGUUGUAAAGCUCUUUUACCCGGGAUGAUAAUGACAGUACCGGGAGAAUAAGCCCCGGCUAACUCCGUGCCAGCAGCCGCCGUAAAAC
rnacentral:rRNA from 1 species